UACGAACUGUGCGAACGUUAUUCGGAAUCACUGGGCUUACAGGGUGCGUAGGCGGCUUGUUAAGUAGGGUGUGAAAGCCCCCGGCUCAACCGGGGAAUUGCGCCCUAAACUGGCGAGCUGGAGUGAGAUAGGGGUGUGUGGAACUUCCGGUGGAGCGGUGAAAUGUGUUGAUAUCGGAAGGAACGCCGGUGGCGAAAGCGACACACUGGAUCUUGUCCGACGCUGAGGCAGCGAAAGCCAGGGGAGCGAACGGG
rnacentral:rRNA from 1 species